rnacentral:rRNA from 1 species
UACAGAGGGGGCAAGCGUUGUUCGGAAUUACUGGGCGUAAAGGGCGCGUAGGCGGCCUACUAAGUCGAACGUGAAAUCCCCGGGCUCAACCCGGGAACUGCGUCCGAUACUGGUGGGCUUGAAUUCGGGAGAGGGAUGUGGAAUUCCAGGUGUAGCGGUGAAAUGCGUAGAUAUCUGGAGGAACACCGGUGGCGAAGGCGGCAUCCUGGACCGAUAUUGACGCUGAUGCGCGAAAGCGUGGGGAGCAAACAGG